UAUUUCACUCAAAAAAUUAGCCCUGAACAAGCCCGAUCACGUAUGAUCUCAGAAGCUAGGCAGAGUUGUGCCUGGUUAAUACUUAGAUGGGGGACCACCUAGGAAGACCAGGUGCUGUAGGCA
rnacentral:rRNA from 1 species